CGUGUAGGCGGUUCGUUAAGUCGGGUGUGAAAGCCCGGGGCUCAGCUCCGGAAGUGCGGCCCGAAACUGGCGAGCUGGAGCGCGGUAGAGGAGGGUGGAAUUCCUGGUGUAGCGGUGAAAUGCGUAGAUAUCAGGAGGAACACCGGCGGCGAAGGCGGCCCUCUGGACCGUUGCUGACGCUGAGACGCGAAAGCGUGGGGAGCAAACAGGAUUAGAUACCCUGGUAGUCCACGCUGUAAACGAUGGGUACUAGGUGUUCGGGUGUUGACCCCUGAGUGCCGACGCUAACGCAUUAAGUACCCCGCCUGGGACUACGGCCGCAAGGUUAAA
rnacentral:rRNA from 1 species